rnacentral:rRNA from 1 species
AGCGAACGCUGGCGGCGUACUUAACACAUGCAAGUCGAACGAGGAUCAUCGGGUUAGCAAUAAUUCGGUGGUCCUAGUGGCGCACGGGUGAGUAACACGUGGGUGACCUGCCCUUGAGCUCGGGAUACCCCCUCGGAAAGGGGGGCUAAUACCGGAUACGUUCCUCGGUCGAAAGACUGAGGAGGAAAGGUGGCGCAAGCUGCCGCUCUUGGAGGGGCUCGCGGCCUAUCAGCUAGUGGCGGGGUAACGGCCCACCAAGGCUAUGACGGGUAGCUGGUCUGAGAGGACGACCAGCCACACGGGGACUGAGACACGGCCCCGACUCCUACGGGAGGCAGCAGUGGGGAAUUUUCCGCAAUGGGCGAAAGCCUGACGGAGUGACGCCGCGUGUGGGACGAAGGCCU